UAUAUCAAGACCAGCCGCUGC
rnacentral:piRNA from 1 species